GACAUGUAUGGAAAGCACAUCCCUGUGCUGGGGAUAAAGUUGUCGGAUACCUACAUAGAGACCGUCAAUGCCUGGGGAUCUUGCCACUUCAAGAGCUGUCUAGCCAAGUCAUCAAAUAACUGCAAGAAACAGAGUGUGAAGCUGUUUGUCUCUUGCAGUGCACCAAGUCAUGUGGAGAAGGCUCCUGGCACCGACAGGUGAUGUGUGUAGCCGAGGACCAAAGCGAGGUGCACAGUGCACAUUGUGACUCGGACCAGCGGCCUCCAGACCAGGAGAGCUGCAGCCUGCAGCCCUGCAAGUAUGUGUGGAUCACAGGAGAAUGGUCUGAGUGCUCAGUGACCUGUGGAAAGGGCUACAGGCAGAGGCUGGUCUCCUGCAGUGAGGUUUAUACUGGCAAGAAGAACUAUGAAUACAGCUACCAAACCACGGUGAACUGCCCAGGCACACAGCCGCCAUGCGUCCAUCCCUGCUACCCGAGGGACUGUCCUGUCUCAGCCACCUGGAGAGUUGGUAACUGGGGCAGUUGCUCAGUGUCCUGUGGUGUGGGAGUCAUGCACAGAUCUGUGCAGUGUUGAACCAACAAAGACCAACCCAGCCACUUGUGUCCCUCGGAUCUCAAGCCAGAAGAACACAAAACCUGCCACAACGUUCACAAUUGUGAGCUACCCCAGAACUGCAAGGAGGUAAAAAGAGUCAACAGUGCCAGUGUAGACGGAGAAUACUUCCUGAUUGUUAGAGGGAAGCCCCUAAAGGUAUUCUGUGCAGGGAUGCAUUCUGACUAUCCCAAGGAG